rnacentral:rRNA from 1 species
GGUGCUGCAUGGCUGUCGUCAGCUCGUGUCGUGAGAAUGUUGGGUUAAGUCCCGCAACGAGCGCAACCCUCGUCCUUAGUUGCCAUCAUUUGGUUGGGCACUCUAAGGAAACCGCCGGUGAUAAGCCGGAGGAAGGUGGGGAUGACGUCAAGUCCUCAUGGCCCUUACACGCUGGGCUACACACGUGCUACAAUGGCGGUGACAGUGGGCAGCAAGCGCGCGAGCGUGAGCUAAUCUCCAAAAGCCGUCUCAGUUCGGAUUGUUCUCUGCAACUCGAGAGCAUGAAGGCGGAAUCGCUAGUAAUCGCGGAUCAGCAUGCCGCGGUGAAUACGUUCCCAGGCCUU